AACUUUUAGCAAUGGAUCACUUGGCUCUCGCAUCGAUGAAGAACGAAGCGAAAUGCGAUAAGUAAUGUGAAUUGCAGAAUUCAGUGAAUCAUCGAAUCUUUGAACGCACCUUGCGCUCCUUGGUAUUCCGAGGAGCAUGCCUGUUUGAGUGUCAUUAAUAUAAUCAACCUUCAACGUGUUUGAGUGGUUUGGAUGUGGGGGUUUGCUGGCCUUUCAAAAGGUUUCAGCUCCUCUGAAAUGCAUUAGCAGAACAAACCUUGUUCAUUGGUGUGAUAACUAUCUACGCUUAUGAAUGUGAGGGGCAGUUCAGCUUUCUAAUCGUCUUUGGACAAUUCAUCAUUAAUGUGACCUCAACUCAGGUAGGACUACCCGCUGAACUUAAGCAUAUCAAUAAGCGGAGG
rnacentral:misc_RNA from 1 species